CGCUGCUUCAGCGAGCGAUGGCCACAAGAAGUAGCUCGUAUCUCGUCAAAGAGCUCUUCAGGAGCGAGGGACGCGUAUUUGGCGAGGCAUGCCUCGUUGCAUCAGUUCAAAUUUGUUGAUCCUUUGUCUGCGGACUUGUAUACGGAUGCGAAAUCUUUUGAUCAUAUUAUGUUGGACAAGAAUGAUAUUAUCUUUUCACAGG
rnacentral:misc_RNA from 1 species